GGCAGCGCACUGACCACGCAUCGCGCGCCUUCUUGGUCUCCGGGCAGGCGCAGCAGGGCUUCAACGGCUUCUUCUCCUGCGACUCAGACGGGGCAGGGCUUGCGGCCGCCAGACCCGGCAUGUUUGGCGCCGAAAUCAGCGACUUGCUCAGACACCCUAAACUGUGCCAGCGGCGAUUCGUUCGCAGUCACUUCCGCAGUCGCUUUGAAAAAGGACAGGAAGUCCCGCCUUCCUCAGACCAGUGCUGGGGGGGGAACAACGCGGGGGAGGAAGAGGAAGUUUUUUUUUUUUUUUUUAAGGCGCGUGCGCAGAAGAGGCUCUAGCAUAGCGGGAAUGCCAGGGCCCCUUUUUAGCGCAGGCGCAGAGGCGGUGGAGGGGCUCCAGGAGUCUGAAAGGCAACGUGGGAAGAGCUAGAAAGAUGAGAGCUGAAAGGCAGUUCCAAGAUCCCCCAACCCCACUACUCCCCACGGAUGUAAAGAAUGCAUGAAGAAAUGAUGGAGAAAGGGAAUCUUCUUUAUCCUGAUCCCUGGUUAUUACUGCGGGCAGAACACGAGACCCAAGGGGAAUUGUCUUCCCACAUGGCAAAGCAUAACUGAUCAAAACCAAUAUCAAAAGUUUCUAUUAAACUAAAAGACCCAGAAACCUAAUUUCAUAAAGGUUGUAUAUUAGUUAUUUCUUACUGUAACAAUAUUAUCACAAACCUAGUGGAAUUACAUAUUUAUUAUAUCCAUUUCUAUAGUCAGGAAUUGGCAUGGUACCAUGACUCCUCUGAAUAGGGUCUCACAAGACUGUGGUCAAGAUUUUGGUUGCGAUUGUGGUUUCAUCUGAGGUUCUAUUAGGGAAGGAUAUAUUUCCAGUCUCUUAAGUUGGCAAAAUUCAGUUUCUUGCAGUUGCAGAGCUGAGAUAUUUGGUUUCUUGUUUGUUCUGGGUUGGAGGCCACCCUCAGCUCUGAGAGGCCACCUGCAGUUCCUGCCACAUGGGGAUCCUCAACAUGGCCACUUGCUUCCUCCCAUGAUGUUUGACAUACAGUAUUGGUUAGUGACUUCAAAUGUAUUUGUAGAGGGGGCAGGCAGUUGGCCACUUCAAAUAAUUUAUCUAAUAGAGCAAAAGUCAUUCUGAGGAGGGGAGAUUUUAGCGGAGAACUCAAAAAGGAGCCAACAGUGAGGCAAUGGGGAGUGGGGUGAGAAACAUGUCGGGAAGAAGGAACAGAAAGUGGGGUAUGUAGCUAUAACCACAGACUGAAAAAAAAAAUAGCAUGUAGCACUGUAUUUCAUUUGUUUCUGUUUUCUCCAGCAUCAGUGGGCUGUACAAAUUAUCUCAGA